rnacentral:rRNA from 1 species
CCCUUAGAUGUUCUGGGCCGCACGCGCGCUACACUGACGGAGGCAGCGAGCAUGUCCUUCGCCGAGAGGUGUGGGGAAUCUUGUGAGUCUCCGUCGUGCUGGGGAUAGAUGGUUGCAAUUGUCGAUCUUGAACGAGGAAUUCCUAGUAAGCGCGAGUCAUCAGCUCGCGCUGAUUACGUCCCUGCCCUUUGUACACACCGCCCGUCGCACCUACCGAUUGGAUGGUCCGGUGAAGCCUCGGGAUUGUGGUUCUUGCCGCUUUAUUGUGGCGUGACCGCGAGAACUUGUCUAAACCUUAUCAUCUAGAGGAAGGUGAAGUCGUAACA